NUYCCUGUAGUAUAUUACCCAUUACCCUGGCCUUGUAAACCAGAAAAGGGGGAAAUACUCCCCCCCAAGGACU
rnacentral:tRNA from 1 species